UCUCUAUGACAAUAUUUUUCACUUUGUUUAAUCAUUCAAUAGGUGACGGUCCUAAAUUUUGCCCAGGAACUUUUACGGCUAAUGGUGUAUGUGCUAAUAUUGAUUGUGGAAAUCUAGCUCUAUUACAGUGGCCAGCAAGUUCGAUGCCUCAUGAUUGUGUUUGUUCUGCAUCUGGAAGCACUCAAAGUCUUUGUACCUGUCAAAUUCGUUGUUAAAACAAAAUUAUGCAAUAAAAGUGAUUAUUAUUGAUGUUAA